rnacentral:lncRNA from 1 species
UGGGGAGGUUGGACUACAUGACCUUUGGAGGUCCCUUCCAGCCUGGAUCAUUCCAGGAUUCUAUGAUUCUGUGCAAUGUAUGUAUGUCCACAGCUGGCUUCACUGCAUGGUUGCAAGGACCAUGCAAAACCUACUUUACCAUUGCCCAUCCCAGGCAGCAGGUGCUCCUCCGGACACAGCUACCAGGAGACUUCGCUGCCCAUCCAGACUCAUGUUUCAACACAGUGGCAAGGAAAGACGAAGUGGGAGCUAGACAUCCUACCUUCCACUUGUUGCGAUCAUGAAGCAUUUGUGACGGACCUCAAAGCCUCCUAAGAGUCCAGUUUUCCAUAUUCUAGCCCAACACUACCAUGAGACACAGAGUCCAUAGCAAAUGCUGAGGCUCCUGUUUACACCAGCCAGAACAUCUUACAUAAUAACCAAGUAUUCUUAUACAGUGUUUACAGUACAUUAGCCUCAGUUAGGGUUAGAACAUACUGUUCCAUAUAAAAACACAGAGAGAAGACUGCUUCCCUGAAUGAGGAGUUCACAGACUAAGAAUACAAGGAGUACACCGUGAGGAAAGAGAAGGCAGGCACGGGGAGCUAAAAGCAUUUAUAAUGCAUCUACACAGACAAUGUUUAUAAUUAGAGUAAUGCAAUUGCCAACCAUAUCCAUCAUCCCCUCAACUCCUUAUGGGUACGAUGGCAGAAAUGGCUAAGGAGCUUGAACAAGAAGAGUGCAGCACGUUGGUGAUGGAGGGUAUUUAUAGGAAAAGGAACACCGCAGGAGGAAGAAUGAAGCAUUUAGAAGAGAUAAGGAAUGAGUGGGCAAGGCUUACAAUGCUGACAGAUAUGAAGAGACAGACGAUGCAAUCAGAUUUGCACGAGGGAGGAACGCAGUGGGCAAGUGCAGAUAAUAAGAAGAAAAAUAAGCUGGAUCAGCCUAACUGCGAAUAUUGAUGAAGAAAUUUGAAAAGGAUAUUUUGGUUAAAAUAAGAACCAGAAUACAUUCCACAUGCUUCUUGCAAGGACUCAAAGGGAUGAUCCUGAAGUAAUCAAGUUGGUGGAUAAGGCAUACAUAUUUUUUCUCGCAUAAAUUGGUUCUACCCACUUGAAAAGCUGCCUUUUAGCAUAUAAAUAUAUUUUAUUGCUCCCAGCCUCAAUUAAGAUGCUCUUCUGUAUUUGGUAUCGUAAGUGAUAGCACAACAAGUACUCCAGCCUUUUUUUUUUUCCCUUAAAAAAAAAAAAAGCUUUCAUGCUUUUUCACAUGAAACGAACGGGUAGUCUAACACAAUUUCAUCUG